UCGCUGAAGAGAAGAAACAGGCUGAUCCUGCAGGAGAACCGAUCUGGUGAUUAUCAGCACAGAGACAGCCUACAGCAAUCAAAAAAUAACAGAAGUCUCUCCUUAUCAGUGAAGAGGGUGAAAGAAGAGAGUAAAAAGCUGGCUUGAAACUCAACAUUCAAAAAACUAAGAUCACGGCAUCUGGUCAAAUCACUUCAUGAAACAGUUCACUUCCCCACUAGAUGGAGAAAAAGUGGAAGCACUGACAAAUUUUCUUUUCUUGGACUCCAAAAUCACUGCAGACAUGAAAGAAAAGCUAAGACAAACCCAGGCAGCAUAUUAAAAAACAGAGACAUUACUUUGCCGAUAAAGGUCCAUAUAGUCAAAGCUGUGGUUUUUCCACUAGUCAUGUAUGGAUGUGAGAGUUGGACCAUAAAGAAGGCUGAGCACCGAAGAAUUGAUGCUUUUGAACUGUGGUGCUGGAGAAGACUCUUGAGAGUCCCUUGGAUAGCAAAGAAAUCAAACUAAUCAAUCCUAAAGAAAAUCAACUCUGAAUGUUCACUGGAGGGACUCAUAUUGAAGCUGAAGCUCCAAAACUUUGGCCACCUGAUGCAAAGAGCUGACUCAUUGGAAAAGACCUUGAUGCUGGUAAAGAUUGAAGGCAGGAGAAGGGAACAGCAGAGGAUGAGAUGGUUGGAUACCAUCAUUGGCUGCAUGGAUAUGAAUCUGAGCUAACUCUGAGAGGUAGUGGCAUGCAUGCAUGCUAAGUUGCUUCAGUCAUGUUCAACUCAUUGCGACGCUAUGGACUGUAGCCCACCAGGCUCCUCUGUCCAUGGGACUCUCCAGGAAAGAAUACUGGCAUAUGUUGCAAUGCCCUCCUCCAGGGGAUCUUCCUGACCCAGGGACUGAACCUGCAUCUCAUUAUGUCUCCUGCAUUGGCAGGGUUCUUUUUACCACUAGCCACCUGGGAAGCCGCUGGGAGAUAGUGGAGGACAGAGGAAUCCGUCAUGCUACAGGCCAUGAGGUCUCAAAGAGUCGGACAUGACUUUGCGAUUGAACAUCAAUUCUUUAACAGUAAUUACUUUGAGAGUAAGUGGAUUAAACUCUCCAAUCAAAAGACAGAGAUUGAAGGACGCACAGUUUAGAGACCAUUAACUUGCUGUGGCCCCCUUUGUCUGGCAAAGCAAUAAAACUAUUCUAAAAAAAAAAAAAAGACAGAUUGGCAGAAUGGAUAAACACAUGACCCAACUAUAUACUAUCUACCCAAUUCAAGAGGAUCACUUUAGAUGAAAGAUGAUAAUAGAUUGGAGACAAAAGGUGGAAGAAGAUAUUCCAUGCAAAUAAUAACUACAUAGUAGUUAUCAAUAUUUAGGGCAGUAUUCAUAAUAGCUAAAAUGAAGAGGCAACCAAGCAGCCACUGACAGAUGAAUGGAUGAGAAAAGUAAUAUACAAUUCAGCCUUCAAAAAGGAAAUUCUGACAUAUGUCAUAACAUGGAUGAGCUUUGAGGCUAUCAUGUUAAGUGAGGGGUGUGUGUGUGUGCUCAGUCAUGUCUGACUCUGUGACCCCAUGGACUGUAGCCCUCUAGGCUCUUCUGUUCAUGGGAUUUCCCAGGCCAGAAUAACGGAGUGGGUAGCCAUUUCCUUCUCCAGGAGAUCUUCCCGACCCGGAGACCAAACCCAAGUCUCUUGCAUAUUCUGCAUUGCAGGCAGAUUCUUUACCACUAUGCCAUCUGUAAGCCAGUCAUAAAAAGACGCGUCCUGUGUGAUUCCACUUACCUGAGGUUCCUUGAGGUUCAGAUUCAUAAAGAAAAAAUUAAUAAGAUAGUGGUUGUCAGGAGGUGGAGAGGAGAAGGGAUGAAGAGUUACUGUUUUGUGAGUUCAGAGUUUCAGUUUUGCAAGAUAAAUUUUAAGUUGUGUUUAUUUUGCCACAAAAAGAAAGAGAGAGAAAAAGUUUACAGGGUGAGAACAAUAAGGCACUGAAGGACAAUGGCAGGGAAGUGAUGGAAGAAAUGUCUCAGCAGGAUGUCCCUGCUGGGUCAAUGCACAGGAAUCUGCGUGCCAAUACAGGGGACACGGGUUCCAUCCCUGGUCUAGGAAGACCCCACAUGUGGUGGAGCCACUAAGCCUGUGCACCACAAAGCUGAGUCCACGCUCUAUAGAGCCCAUGUUCCUCAAUAAGAGAAGCUGUCGCAGUGAGAAGCCUGCACACCAUAAUGAGAAAUAGCCCCCACAAGCAGCAACGAAGACCCAGCACAGCCAAAAAUAAAUAAAGCAUUUUAAAAAGAGUAAAAGAAACAUUCAGCCAGUUGUUUUCUGAAUCCUUGCUGACUCACUCUUACCCUGAAUUUGGAGAAUAAGCUUGACUCCCUGGCCAAAGGAUCAUUUCAUGAAACCUGGAUAUCAAUAUUUAGGGCAAAUUUGUGUUUGUGGUGAUGAAAUUAUUUCAAAAAUUAUUAAAGAAUUUAUUUCAUCUUAUUCAGGGUAAUCUUUAUUGACUGUGUGUGUACACGUGUGUUUGUGUGUUCUAGAAAUUAAGAACAUCAAAGAAAUGCAAGGAGUAACUCUAUUUUUGCAACCAGUCUACCUAAUGUUUUAUUUUUCCUUUGAAUACUUUACUUUCACGGUAUCAAUAGGUG
ensembl:lncRNA